UACGUAGGGUGCAGGCGUUAAUCGGAAUUACUGGGCGUAAAGCGUGCGCAGGCGGUUUGUUAAGUCAGAUGUGAAAUCCCCGGGCUUAACCUGGGAACUGCGUUUGUAACUGGCAAGCUAGAGUGUGGCAGAGGGAGGUGGAAUUCCACGUGUAGCGGUGAAAUGCGUAGAGAUGUGGAGGAACACCGAUGGCGAAGGCAGCCUCCUGGGCCAACACUGACGCUCAUGCACGAAAGCGUGGGGAGCAAACAGG
rnacentral:rRNA from 1 species